CUACGUAGGGGGCGAGCGUUGUCCGGAAUGACUGGGCGUAAAGGGCGUGUAGGCGGCGGUGUAAGUCUGGAGUGAAAGUCCCGCAUUCAAUGUGGGAAUUGCUUUGGAUACUGCAGUGCUAGAGUGCGGAAGAGGUAAGUGGAAUUCCCAGUGUAGCGGUGAAAUGCGUAGAGAUUGGGAGGAACACCAAUCGCGAAGGCAGCAUACGAGGCAUCAUCUGACGCUGAUGCACGAAAGCGUGGGGAUCAAACAGGAUUAGAUACCCUGGUAGUCCACGCUGUAAACUAUGAUAACUAUCUUUUAGCGAUACACAGUUAGAGGGUACGAGAAAUCAUUAAGUUAUCCACCUGGGGAUUACGUUCGCAAGAAUGAAACUCAAAGGAAUUGGCGGGG
rnacentral:rRNA from 1 species